rnacentral:rRNA from 1 species
GUCUAUGGCCACACCACCCUGAACACACCAAAUCUCUUCUGAUCUCAGAAGCUAAGCAGGGUCGGCCCUGGUUAGUACUUGGAUGGGAGACCCCCUAGCAAGACCAGGUGCCUUAGACU